rnacentral:lncRNA from 1 species
CCCAAUUGAUAUGUUAAGAGUCUGACCCCCCAGUGUGACUGUUUUGGGAAUAAGGAGGUAAUUAAGGCUAAGUGAGGUCCUAAGGGUGGGGCCCUAAUCCUGUAAGGUUGGUGGCCUUAUAAAGAAGGGGAAGAGAUGCUAGAACUUUCUUUCUCUUCACCAUUUGUGAGGUCACAAUGAGAAGGCAGCUAAAUGUAGGCGAGGCAGAGAGCUCUCACCAGCACCUGAAUCAGCUGACACUUUGAUCUUGGACUUUCAGCCUUCAGAACUCUGAGAAAUAAAUUUUCAGCUACCCCACUGUGGUAUUUUGUUAUGAUAGCCCAUGCAGACUGGAUUCUUUUUACUCUUCAAUAGACCUUCAAAAGGAUCAUCAGUUUCCUCUUAACGACAAUUCUAUGACUAUCCCCAUAUUGAGAGGACGACAGAAAUACGCAGAUAUUAACUGAUUUUCCUAAAGCAUAGCCUGGGCAUGGACAUUCUUUCAGAGCACCCAGGAUUCUGGAGCUUCUGGUGGAAUAUGCUGGUCAUGGGAGGUGGGCAUAUGACCCUGCUAUCCCACCCCAUCCUACAGGGGCCCAACCCCAGUCACCCACUGCUGCCAAGUGGAGCCAUGUCUUCUGGGACCUUGGGACGGGAAAGACCUUUAAGAAGCACUGAGGUAUCCCUAGCGGUACCAGUUUUAGGACACUUGUCAUGGAAACGGAAGAGAAUUCUGAGCAAGUUUUGAUGUGGAAAGGGGGGUCAAAUCACAGGAAAUGGUUUGUCAGCCUUGGAUUGCUGAGGAGAGUGGAGUGUCUCUACCGGGACUCAGGUGUGUUUGUGGGCUCAGGUUACUGUUAAAAUACAGCUUCCAGUGCAAAGGGAAGCUCUGCAGUGUGGUGAUUCCCAACCAGAAUCCCCUGGAAGGCUUGCUGGGCCCUAUCCGCAGUUUCCACAGGUCUUGGGUAGGACUAAGCAUCUGCACAGCUAACAAGUUCCUACAUAUGGUUGGCUGUUGAUCUAAGGGCCACUCUGAGAACCAGUGCUAUGGUGCUAUGUCACACAGUUUAAUAAGAUGUAUCACUGAGAUCUCUGUAUUUUCCAAAAUCAAGUAAAAUCCUG